UGAGGUUGCAUCAAAUUUAUAAGCUAAGACAUCACAAGAGAAUUCUCUGAUUCUCAUUGACUAUAAAUGGUACUCUCAACUUUUGGUUUGUUUUAUCCCCGAUGACAUAUCCUUGCAAUUCUCUAGCUCGAAUGAACAACAAACAAGAUCUUGACUGUGCAAGAUAGUUAGUACUAUCAAGCUUUACGGGAUUGAUUUGUAAAGAAAAAUUGUUAGUCAUAAUACCCAUCUUGAUUUCUGAAAAUUUUUUUCCCCUCAACCAUUAGAAAAGGGAAUAGUAGGAUAACAAUACCAAAAACGAAAAAAAAAAGAUGUAGCAGUAUAGGCUCAAAAACAAAUAGGUCCAGGUAUCAAGGUGCAAACCAGGCGAGAGGAACAGGUUGGGUAGAGGUGCGAUAGUCAGGGGAGACCACCGAAAGAAGGUUCGGCCAGAAAAAGUGGCCGAAAGAGGGGCUCACUUACCAGCACGUGGAAGACUACUGAGAUCUUGUGUCGGCGUGUGAGGCCACACACUUCGUUGGACAGUGACGAGUCUUUGGUGACAGACCGAUCGAAGGUUGAGCUUCCUCCUAGGGUAAGUGGUGACAGCUCAAUCUCCUUCUACAGGUCGCUUAGAAGUUUACGCACUUAGAAACCCUAGUUCCUUUCAAAAGCAAAUUACGCCACUAAAGGGUGGCUAUGCUCUGAUACCAUGUUGAGAAGAAUUCUUGGAGAAAAGAGUUUUUUAUUUUAGUAUAUAUUUACCUUUUGCACUCUUCCUAUUUAUAUACAACAUUCCUUAAUAUAAAAGAAGUCUAGAUAUUGU
rnacentral:misc_RNA from 1 species